UUAAUAAAUUUUAACUGGUAUUCUAUUGCUUAACAGUGUGAUUAAUUUGCUUUGCUUUUCAAUUUAUUCAAUUUUACUCUUUAAAAAUUUGAUCUUAUUUAUCUGUUUUGCCACUUUAAGAACUUUAUUUGUUAGCUGUAUUUAUUCUUGAGAGGACCAUAUUGACCUGGUUAGUUCCAAAUGUUGACCAGUUGUGCCUGAAUGAUAGAGAGGUUGAAGAGGCAGCACCUCAAUCUGGAUAAAGUUUAAAUUAGGUCUGGCCAGCGUAGGCUUCAGGCUGUCUGACCUUUGGUGUCAAAGGCUUCUGAGCUGUUCUUGCUAGGCUUGGCCACUUCAAAUGGGGGACAUUUCAAAAAAUCAGCUAUUCUUGACCUACAUAUAAAUUCUGAGUAUCUAAAAAAGAGAACCUGAAAAAAAAGCUCUUUACAGUUUUGGAUCCCCCCCCCAGAAACAUAAUAAUAGGCUUGGGUUCAGAUCCAGCUAUUCACAUACAAACUCCACAAAAUGUGGACAAUAUUAUUUUAAACUGCUUCAGUUUAGUCAGAACUUCUCUAUGAAAUAUAAAUCAAUAUUCCUUGUGCCUGUGAAACUGAUCCCUGUUUUGAUUUGCUGCAGCGGAAGACAAUGUUGGAGUUCCCAAGCUGCUCUUAUGUCUGUCAUCUGGUGAUGAUAGGGAAGAAAAAACCAUCACAACAAUAACUAAAACAAACAAAAAAAAAAGAAAAAUGUUCCAUUCUGCCUUAGUAGAAACAUAGGAACAAACCAAUUUGCCAAAUGGACAGCAACGUAUUUUAGGAGAAGAAAUAGGGAUUAAUAAUUUUAAUGUGUUUUUUUUUCUCUUUUUUAAAUCAUAGCUUUUACUAUGGUUGUACAUAAACCUAAUCUUAUGAAUAUUACAUUUACCAUCUUGGAUUCUGGACAAUGAUUGUCUGCAAGUCUGAGCCUAUUUGGCUGGCAGAUUGGAUAGGAGAGAACACAGGCAGCACUGGCAACCAAAUAGGAAAAGAUGUAAAAGACCAAUGAGGCUGCACCAAAAGGCUUGUAAAGAUCUCAAAA